rnacentral:rRNA from 1 species
UACGUAGGGGGCAAGCGUUGUCCGGAAUCACUGGGCGUAAAGCGCGCGCAGGCGGUCAUCUACGUCUGGGGUGAAAGCCCGGAGCUCAACUCCGGGAUUGCCUUGGAUACGGGAUGACUUGAGGAUCGGAGAGGCAAGGGGAAUUCCACGUGUAGCGGUGAAAUGCGUAGAGAUGUGGAGGAACACCAGUGGCGAAGGCGACUCUUUGGCCUGUAACUGACGCUGAGGCGCGAAAGCGUGGGGAGCAAACAGG